GGGUUGUGAGGUUAAGCGACUAAGCGUACACGGUGGAUGCCCUGGCAGUCAGAGGCGAUGAAGGACGUGCUAAUCUGCGAUAAGCGUCGGUAAGGUGAUAUGAACCGUUAUAACCGGCGAUUUCCGAAUGGGGAAACCCAGUGUGAUUCGUCACACUAUCAUUAACUGAAUCCAUAGGUUAAUGAGGCGAACCGGGGGAACUGAAACAUCUAAGUACCCCGAGGAAAAGAAAUCAACCGAGAUUCCCCCAGUAGCGGCGAGCGAACGGGGAGCAGCCCAGAGCCUGAAUCAGUGUGUGUGUUAGUGGAAGCGUCUGGAAAGGCGCGCGAUACAGGGUGACAGCCCCGUACACAAAAAUGCACAUGCUGUGAGCUCGAUGAGUAGGGCGGGACACGUGGUAUCCUGUCUGAAUAUGGGGGGACCAUCCUCCAAGGCUAAAUACUCCUGACUGACCGAUAGUGAACCAGUACCGUGAGGGAAAGGCGAAAAGAACCCCGGCGAGGGGAGUGAAAAAGAACCUGAAACCGUGUACGUACAAGCAGUGGGAGCACGCUUAGGCGUGUGACUGCGUACCUUUUGUAUAAUGGGUCAGCGACUUAUAUUCUGUAGCAAGGUUAACCGAAUAGGGGAGCCGAAGGGAAACCGAGUCUUAACUGGGCGUUAAGUUGCAGGGUAUAGACCCGAAACCCGGUGAUCUAGCCAUGGGCAGGUUGAAGGUUGGGUAACACUAACUGGAGGACCGAACCGACUAAUGUUGAAAAAUUAGCGGAUGACUUGUGGCUGGGGGUGAAAGGCCAAUCAAACCGGGAGAUAGCUGGUUCUCCCCGAAAGCUAUUUAGGUAGCGCCUCGUGAAUUCAUCUCCGGGGGUAGAGCACUGUUUCGGCAAGGGGGUCAUCCCGACUUACCAACCCGAUGCAAACUGCGAAUACCGGAGAAUGUUAUCACGGGAGACACACGGCGGGUGCUAACGUCCGUCGUGAAGAGGGAAACAACCCAGACCGCCAGCUAAGGUCCCAAAGUCAUGGUUAAGUGGGAAACGAUGUGGGAAGGCCCAGACAGCCAGGAUGUUGGCUUAGAAGCAGCCAUCAUUUAAAGAAAGCGUAAUAGCUCACUGGUCGAGUCGGCCUGCGCGGAAGAUGUAACGGGGCUAAACCAUGCACCGAAGCUGCGGCAGCGACGCUUAUGCGUUGUUGGGUAGGGGAGCGUUCUGUAAGCCUGUGAAGGUGUACUGUGAGGUAUGCUGGAGGUAUCAGAAGUGCGAAUGCUGACAUAAGUAACGAUAAAGCGGGUGAAAAGCCCGCUCGCCGGAAGACCAAGGGUUCCUGUCCAACGUUAAUCGGGGCAGGGUGAGUCGACCCCUAAGGCGAGGCCGAAAGGCGUAGUCGAUGGGAAACAGGUUAAUAUUCCUGUACUUGGUGUUACUGCGAAGGGGGGACGGAGAAGGCUAUGUUGGCCGGGCGACGGUUGUCCCGGUUUAAGCGUGUAGGCUGGUUUUCCAGGCAAAUCCGGAAAAUCAAGGCUGAGGCGUGAUGACGAGGCACUACGGUGCUGAAGCAACAAAUGCCCUGCUUCCAGGAAAAGCCUCUAAGCAUCAGGUAACAUCAAAUCGUACCCCAAACCGACACAGGUGGUCAGGUAGAGAAUACCAAGGCGCUUGAGAGAACUCGGGUGAAGGAACUAGGCAAAAUGGUGCCGUAACUUCGGGAGAAGGCACGCUGAUAUGUAGGUGAAGCGACUUGCUCGUGGAGCUGAAAUCAGUCGAAGAUACCAGCUGGCUGCAACUGUUUAUUAAAAACACAGCACUGUGCAAACACGAAAGUGGACGUAUACGGUGUGACGCCUGCCCGGUGCCGGAAGGUUAAUUGAUGGGGUCAGCGCAAGCGAAGCUCUUGAUCGAAGCCCCGGUAAACGGCGGCCGUAACUAUAACGGUCCUAAGGUAGCGAAAUUCCUUGUCGGGUAAGUUCCGACCUGCACGAAUGGCGUAAUGAUGGCCAGGCUGUCUCCACCCGAGACUCAGUGAAAUUGAACUCGCUGUGAAGAUGCAGUGUACCCGCGGCAAGACGGAAAGACCCCGUGAACCUUUACUAUAGCUUGACACUGAACAUUGAGCCUUGAUGUGUAGGAUAGGUGGGAGGCUUUGAAGUGUGGACGCCAGUCUGCAUGGAGCCGACCUUGAAAUACCACCCUUUAAUGUUUGAUGUUCUAACGUUGACCCGUGAUCCGGGUUGCGGACAGUGUCUGGUGGGUAGUUUGACUGGGGCGGUCUCCUCCUAAAGAGUAACGGAGGAGCACGAAGGUUGGCUAAUCCUGGUCGGACAUCAGGAGGUUAGUGCAAUGGCAUAAGCCAGCUUGACUGCGAGCGUGACGGCGCGAGCAGGUGCGAAAGCAGGUCAUAGUGAUCCGGUGGUUCUGAAUGGAAGGGCCAUCGCUCAACGGAUAAAAGGUACUCCGGGGAUAACAGGCUGAUACCGCCCAAGAGUUCAUAUCGACGGCGGUGUUUGGCACCUCGAUGUCGGCUCAUCACAUCCUGGGGCUGAAGUAGGUCCCAAGGGUAUGGCUGUUCGCCAUUUAAAGUGGUACGCGAGCUGGGUUUAGAACGUCGUGAGACAGUUCGGUCCCUAUCUGCCGUGGGCGCUGGAGAACUGAGGGGGGCUGCUCCUAGUACGAGAGGACCGGAGUGGACGCAUCACUGGUGUUCGGGUUGUCAUGCCAAUGGCACUGCCCGGUAGCUAAAUGCGGAAGAGAUAAGUGCUGAAAGCAUCUAAGCACGAAACUUGCCCCGAGAUGAGUUCUCCCUGACCCUUUAAGGGUCCUGAAGGAACGUUGAAGACGACGACGUUGAUAGGCCGGGUGUGUAAGCGCAGCGAUGCGUUGAGCUAACCGGUACUAAUGAACCGUGAGGCUUAACCUUACAACGCCGAAGCUGUU
rnacentral:rRNA from 1 species